CUUCGUGUCCUAUUUUUAGUAGUUCUCGCCACAUCAUUACUUGCCUCUGAUAUGAUAUUUUUGCCUAUUACCUUGCCAUUAUUACCGUUUGUGGCCGUACUUUUUUCAUUGAUUGCCCUUUCCCUUUCUUUUCAAAAUGCAUUGCAUUUCCUGUCGUUUUCUUUGUCGUCGCUUUCCUUUUCUACUGUAUCCCAUUUUCAAAGAAAAAAAAUUCUUGCCUGAACUCUAUCGCUUGCCACCAUGGGGGGUAAACACCUUCAUUUCAAACCGGAAUCCAUGGAUAAAUUGAAUGUUGAAGAGGAAGUAUUGAAAAUCUUCGCUCAUUCUGGUUGGACAAAGUUCUUUGAGCGCCUGUGCGGGUUUGAUGCUGCCAUAGCCGCAGAGUUUUCUAUGGAAUUUUAGGGAGAUAGUGCUAUGGUGCGUGGGUUACAGUUUCCUGUCAAUUUGCAGACCAUUGCAACCGUUACUGGUUUACCCCAAAUUGGUGACCAUUUCUUCCCCAAUUCAUCAUCCAGGGUCAUGGAUUUGAAGCUUCAUAAGAAGCAAUUCCUUCAGCAUGGGGAGUUAUUUGAGAACGUCCAAGGUUAAGGGGCAGUGCGAAAGUAUUUACCAGAGCCAUGGAGUGUUGUUGCUAAAUUUUUGAUCAAUUAUAUCACCAGUGAAGGACGCUACAAGUAUGUAUUUGCCCACCAUUUUUGCCUUAUGUUACACUUACGCCAUGGUGUUCUUGUUAAUCUUCCAUAUUACCUAUUUUGUUCAUUGAAGCGUUCCUAUAACCAAUAUGGUCGGGGUCAUGCUGAUUCUCUUGCCCAUCAUGGGUUAAUUAAGUUAAAUGUCAUCCAUAGCCUUCGUUCUGCCCAACCUGUCCUAGAGUGGGAUGCCUUUGUCGGCCAAAUCAAUAUAGAUAACCCUGAGCCUUCUACCAUUGAUAAAACCUUCGAAGCCAGUUCUUCUAAGAAACGGUGUUCAAAAUCCUUGUCUUCUCCGAGCCCUAAAAAACCCAAAAUCCUAAAGCCCCAAACUCCUAAGAAGAAAAAGGGAAAUCAAAGAAAAAACCCAAGUCCACACGCUAUGAUUACUCGUCAGAAGCAGCGUACCCCCGAUAGGUUGCAAGAACUAGAUGAGGCAGUUGGGUUCGUCCGUGAUGUGGAAAUGUUGGCUACCCAUCAACCUAAGAAAAAUAAUCAGCGACUUUUAAGAGAAUUGAGAAGUCAACAACGUAAGAACAAGAAACAACAACAACAAAAAGAGGUCCCUGCCCCUGGUGAACAAGAGGAUUUAGCGUCAGGAGAUGAAGAGGCACCUGAGCAUUAAGAAAAAUCUCAAGAACAGGUGAUGAGGGAAGAAUUUGAACACAAUGAUAACACUACUCAGUCUGGGGAAAUUGAGCAAGGCGAUACUAAUACCCAGACUAAUAAAGACAAGGGUGCUCUAGAAAAUCAACAAGAGGAUCUUGAGCUUGAGAAUUUAAAGGAAGAUGUAUCUAUUCAACAAACAAUAAAAAAAACAUGCAAUAUUUCUCCUAUGACAGACACCCAACAAGAUGUGAGUGUAAUAGAAGAAAAUCCGAUCACAAACACCGGUAUGAUUCCUUGUCAAGAUGCACAAAUAGAGAAAGAGACAACGGAAACAGAGCAUCCUCUUAAUGAAUCAACUCUUGCAGUUUUUAAUAGUGAAGAUCCUAUUGGUCAUAUAAACCCUACUGUUCUAACAAUUCAAAAUGAUUUCAAUCUGGUUGCUACAGAAGCUGGUAAAAUCUAUGAAGUUCCUGAAGCAGAAUAGAGUAUACUGCCUAUUUCCAAUGCACAGUUAUGGCAAGUUGUCACUCAACUCCAACAAUCCAAUCAACAUUUACAGUUGUAAUUACAAGCAUUUGUUUCUCAGGGAAAAGGAACCACUGACAAAGCAGGAGUUGAAAAUACAGAGAUUUUAAGUAUCAAGCCUAUUGGUUCCAGUUGUUCACCUCAUUUGCAUGAGGACAUGCAAAGUCUUUAAGCUGGGGGGAAAUGAUGGGCGUGCAAAUAUGCUUCACUUUGAACAGGGAGAAUGAUAGGCAAGAUACCAGUUGAGCGGUCAUGCGAAAAGGGUCUUGGGUGUGAGCAGUUGCUGUUAAUAGAUUAACAAAUGUUGUUUUCAAAUCAUGGCUUAUGACCAAAACUUUAUGCUAUUAUUUCCAUGUUAGUUUUGUGGUUAAACACUCGUGGCCCGCGACCAAACCGAAAUACGAACUUAUCUAAGUUUAGUAUAAAGGCCAUUAGUCAUAAUAACUUAGUCAUUAAUUAGUUAGAUGCUUUUGAAACUAUAUAAACAAGUAUGUAAUUGCAAGAUGGGUGUGAAUAUAUUAAAAAGCUCUGUUAAAAUUCA